rnacentral:rRNA from 1 species
UGCAGAUAAGGGAAUUACGGCAAAUUAGAUCCGUAACUUCGGGAAAAGGAUUGGCUCUGAGGAUUGGAUUCAAGGGCCCAUUCAUGAAAGCUUAGCUGUCUUGGAACUGCGGAGGCAACGAAGUGGCUCCAGGAUAGCGAACGCUGGGAAUGGGUGGGACGUCUUCAUCGGCUUUCCUUGAAUAAUUAACAAUUAACUCAGAACUGAAGCGGACAAGGGGAAUCCGACUGUUUAAUAAAAACAUAGCAUUGUGAUGGCCUGAAAAGGUGUUGACACAAUGUGAAUUCUGCCCAGUGCUUUGAAUGUCAAAGUGAAGAAAUUCAACCAAGCGCAGGUAAACGGCGGGAGUAACUAUGACUCUCUUAAGGUAGCCAAAUGCCUCGUCAUCUAAUUAGUGACGCGCAUGAAUGGAUCAAUGAGAUUCCCACUGUCCCUAUCUGCUACCUAGCGAACACACAGCCAAGGGAACAGGCUUGGAAUAAUCAGCGGGG